rnacentral:rRNA from 1 species
ACGAACGCUGGCGGCGUGCUUAACACAUGCAAGUCGAACGGUGACGGAGAGCUUGCUCUCCUGAUCAGUGGCGAACGGGUGAGUAACACGUGGGCAACCUGCCCCAGACUUCGGGAUAACGCUUCGAAAGAGGUGCUAAUACCGAAUACGAACGCCGUGGGCAUCCACGGUGUUGGAAAGUUUUUCGGUCUGGGAUGGGCCCGCGGCCUAUCAGCUUGUUGGUGAGGUAAUGGCUCACCCAAGGCGACGACGGGUAGCCGGCCUGAGAGGGCGACCGGCCACACUGGGACUGAGACGCGGCCCAGACUCCUACGGGAGGCAGCAGUGGGGAAUAUUGCGCAAUGGGCGAAAGCCUGACGCAGCAACGCCGCGUGGGGGAUGAAGGCCUUCGGGUUGUAAACCUCUUUCAGCAGGGAAGAAGCGAAAGUGACGGUACCUGCAGAAGAAGCACCGGCUAACUACGUG